rnacentral:rRNA from 1 species
UACGUAGGGUCCGAGCGUUGUCCGGAAUUACUGGGCGUAAAGAGCUCGUAGGUGGUUUGUCGCGUUGUUCGUGAAAACUCACAGCUCAACUGUGGGCGUGCGGGCGAUACGGGCAGACUGGAGUACUGCAGGGGAGAGUGGAAUUCCUGGUGUAGCGGUGAAAUGCGCAGAUAUCAGGAAGAACACCCGUGGCGAAGGCGGCUCUCUGGGACGGUACUGACGCUGAGACGCGAAAGCGUGGGGAGCGAACAGG